GUCGAGCGAAGCACUUGGUUUGAAGUUUUCGGAUGGAGAACCAUUUGACUGAGCGGCGGACGGGUGAGUAACGCGUGGGGAACCUGCCUCAUACAGGGGAAUAACAGUUAGAAAUGACUGCUAAUGCCGCAUAAGCGCACAGUGUCGCAUGACACGGUGUGAAAAACUCCGGUGGUAUGAGAUGGCCCCGCGUCUGAUUAGGCAGUUGGCGGGGUAACGGCCCACCAAACCGACGAUCAGUAGCCGACCUGAGAGGGUGACCGGCCACAUUGGGACUGAGACACGGCCCAAACUCCUACGGGAGGCAGCAGUGGGGAAUAUUGCACAAUGGGGGAAACCCUGAUGCAGCGACGCCGUGUGGGUGACGAAGUAUUUCGGUAUGUAAAGCCCUAUCAGCAGGGAAGAAGAUGACAGUACCUGACUAAGAAGCCCCGGCUAACUACGUGCCAGCAGCCGCGGUAAUACGUAGGGGGCAAGCGUUAUCCGGAUUUACUGGGUGUAAAGGGAGCGUAGGUGGCAUGGCAAGCCAGAAGUGAAAACCCGGGGCUUAACCC
rnacentral:rRNA from 1 species